AUGAAUGCUGGCGGCGUGCCUAAUACAUGCAAGUCGAGCGGCAGCGAGGGUCUCAUCCUAUUCUGGAAGUUUUCGAGAAUAGAAUGAGAUCUGUCGGCGAGCGGCGGACGGCUGAGUAACGCAUGGGAACGCACCCAAACUGAGGGAUAACUAGUCGAAAGAUUAGCUAAUACCGCAUGUGAUCUUCGGAUUAAAGCUUUCGGGCGGUUUGGGAGCGGCCUGUGUACGAUUAGAUAGUUGGUGAGGUAAUGGCUCACCAAGUCAACGAUCGUUAGAUGGUUUGAGAGGAUGGUCAUCCAGACUGGGACUGAGACACGGCCCAGACUCCUACGGGAGGCAGCAGUAGGGAAUCUUUCACAAUGGGCGAAAGCCUGAUGGAAGCAACGCCGCGUGCAGGAUGAAGGCCUUCGGGUUGUAAACUGCUUUUAUAAGCGAGGAAUAUGACGGUAACUUAUGAAUAAGGAUCGGCUAACUACGUGCCAGCCGCAGC
rnacentral:rRNA from 1 species